AUGGCGUCCAACGCCGCACCCGACGACAACGAGGUGGCGCACGACUACGGCCUCGUCCGCGUCUACAAGAGCGGCCGCGUCGAGCGGCCCCUGGUGGCUCCGCCCGCGGCGGCCGGCCUCGACCCCGUCACCGGCGUCGAGUCCAAGGACGUCCAGCUCGGCGACUACUCCGCCCGCCUCUACCUGCCCCCGGCCGCGGCCAUGGCCGCAGUCAAGCUCCCUGUCAUCGUCUACGUCCACGGGGGCGGUUUCGUGGCCGAGUCCGUCGCGUCGCCCAACGGCCACCGCUUCCUCAACAGCCUCACCGCCGCCUGCCCCGCCCGCGCUGUCUCCGUCGAGUACCGCCUCGCCCCGGAGCACCCGCUCCCUGCGGCGUACGAGGACUGCGUCGCCCGCCCUCGGGUGGGUGCUCUCGGCCGCCGACCCGUGGGUCGCCGAGCACGGCGACCUGAGCCGCGUCUUCGUGGCCGGGGACAGCGCCGGGGCCAACGCCUGCCACCACCUCCUCAUCCAGCCGGACGCCGCGCGCCUCAAGGGCGCGGUGCUGAUCCACCCCUGGUUCUGGUGCUCCGAGGCCGUCGGCGAGGAGACGCGCAACCCCGCGUGGCGCGCCAUGGGCGGGCGGCUGUGGGAGUUCGCGUGCCCCGGCUCGACUGGCAUCGACGACGCGCGGAUGAACCCGAUGGCGCCCGGCGCGCCGGGGCUGGAAACGCUCGCGUGCGAGAGGGUCAUGGUGUGCGUGGCGGAGGGCGACUUCCUCAGGUGGCGCGGCCGCGCGUACGCGGAGGCCGUGGCCGCGGCGAGGGGCGGCCAGGGGCACGGGGUCGAGCUGCUGGAGACGAUGGGGGAGGGGCACGUCUUCCACCUCUUCAAGCCCGACUGCGACAAAGCCAAGGAGAUGUUCCACAGGAUCGUCGCCUUCGUUAA
rnacentral:rRNA from 1 species